rnacentral:rRNA from 1 species
AGCGAACGCUGGCGGCAGGCUUAACACAUGCAAGUCGAGCGGGCCCUUCGGGGUCAGCGGCAGACGGGUGAGUAACACGUGGGAACGUGCCCUUCGGUUCGGAAUAACUCAGGGAAACUUGAGCUAAUACCGGAUACGCCCUUAUGGGGAAAGGUUUACUGCCGAAGGAUCGGCCCGCGUCUGAUUAGCUUGUUGGUGGGGUAACGGCCUACCAAGGCGACGAUCAGUAGCUGGUCUGAGAGGAUGAUCAGCCACACUGGGACUGAGACACGGCCCAGACUCCUACGGGAGGCAGCAGUGGGGAAUAUUGGACAAUGGGCGCAAGCCUGAUCCAGCCAUGCCGCGUGAGUGAUGAAGGCCUUAGGGUUGUAAAGCUCUUUUGUCCGGGACGAUAAUGACGGUACCGGAAGAAUAAGCCCCGGCUAACUUCGUGCCAGCCGCCGCGGUAACAC